rnacentral:lncRNA from 10 species
CAAGAGCUGCAUUUGUAGUAAUUCUGAAAAUAAGACACAGUGGGGAGCUAUUAGAAAGUCGAGGGAGAAUAUAAUGAGUUCAUUUAUAGGCAUAUAUUAUUUGAUGUAUCCAUGGACAUGCUAGUAACUAUUUUCAGUAGUGUAGGAAUAAGUUAUCAAUAUAACUUAUUUUAAAAAUAACAUAAACAUAAUUAGGCUUUUAUUAUAAUUAAGAAAACCUCUGGAUUACAAUGCUGGUUGGUGGAGAGAGGGAGAGGCUACUGAAGAAAAAUAAACUUUGACUCAAAUACCUUACAAAUUCAAAGUACUAGAGCAGCUACUUACAUAUCAACAAAACAGUAAAGUUUGCACUAAAAGCUUUUAUCCAUUGUACUUAUCUAAAUAGAAAGAUCCCCAUGUGUAUGGGGACAUGGUGUGGCAGAAUCCUUUUUAGGCUUAAAUGCAUAUAUACUCUUUCUCUUAUAAAUGCAAUUACCACGCAUGAAAUAGCUAUGAAAUAUCUGUUCAUCCUGGGGACAGUUUGGUUAGCUUCUUGGGAAUAGUUGUGAAGAUGAAAACUAUGUCCAUGAAGGAAAGCUGACUGAGUAGAAAGUAUUUCAGCUCGUUUCCAUACAACUGUUGUUAUUGUUGAUGAUGAUGAUGAUGAUUCAUUAUAAAAUGAAGCAUCUGGGGUGACUGCCUAACUGGACAGGAUGCCAGGAUAACAGGGGUAAACAGGGACUAUCCCAGCUAAACCAGGGGUGUGGUCACCUUCUAUUUGAAGUCAUAACAUUUUUUCCUUAGGUUAUUGUUGUACUGAACGUAUUAAAUAUAGAGUUUCCAUCUUAAACUAAUUCUGAAGUAGAGAUGCUGUGAUUUUAUUUUAACUGUUGUAUUAUCUGGAAACUCAUUCUACUGGGGCUCAAAUUUACAUAUAUUUAGGGCAUGAGCAUGGUGACGGUUAAUACUGAGGGUCAACUUGAUUGGAUUGAAGGAUGCAAGGUAUUAAUCCUGCAUGUGUCUGUGAGGGUGUUGCCAAAGGACAUUAACAUUUGAGUCAGUGGGCUGGGGGAGACAGACCCACCCUUAAUCUGGUGGGCACCAUCUAAUCAGCUGCAAGCGAAUAUAAAUCAGGCAGCAAAAAUGGCCUAGUCUUCCAGCCUACAUUUUUCUCCUGUGCUUGGAUGCUUCCUGCCCUCAAACAUCGGACUCCAAGUUCUUCAGUUUUAAGACUUGGACUGCCUCUCCUUGCUCCUCAAGCUUGCAGACAGCCUAUUGUGGGACCUUGUGAUCAUGUAAGUUAAAACUUAACAAACUUCCCAUUAUAUCUCUGUCUAUCUGUCUGUCUGUCUGUCUGUCUGUAUCUAUCUAUCUAUCUAUCUAUCUAUCUAUCUAUCUAUCUAUUCUGUCCCUUUAUGGAAACCUGACUAAUUCAGGCUUGGACCAAUAUUUUGUGUUAAGUUGUUGAGACUGAG